UACGAAGGGGGCUAGCGUUGCUCGGAAUCACUGGGCGUAAAGGGUGCGUAGGCGGACGCGUAAGUCGGGGGUGAAAUCCCAGGGCUCAACCCUGGAACUGCCUUCGAUACUGCUCGUCUCGAGACCGGUAGAGGUAGGCGGAACUGCGAGUGUAGAGGUGAAAUUCGUAGAUAUUCGCAAGAACACCGGUGGCGAAGGCGGCUCACUGGUCCGGAACUGACGCUGAGGCACGACAGCGUGGGGAGCAAACAGG
rnacentral:rRNA from 1 species